rnacentral:rRNA from 1 species
UAUACUGCAGUCGAGCGAACGGACGAGAAGCUUGCUUCUCUGAUGUUAGCGGCGGACGGGUGAGUAACACGUGGAUAACCUACCUAUAAGACUGGGAUAACUUCGGGAAACCGGAGCUAAUACCGGAUAAUAUUUUGAACCGCAUGGUUCAAAAGUGAAAGACGGUCUUGCUGUCACUUAUAGAUGGAUCCGCGCUGCAUUAGCUAGUUGGUAAGGUAACGGCUUACCAAGGCAACGAUGCAUAGCCGACCUGAGAGGGUGAUCGGCCACACUGGAACUGAGACACGGUCCAGACUCCUACGGGAGGCAGCAGUAGGGAAUCUUCCGCAAUGGGCGAAAGCCUGACGGAGCAACGCCGCGUGAGUGAUGAAGGUCUUCGGAUCGUAAAACUCUGUUAUUAGGGAAGAACAUAUGUGUAAGUAACUGUGCACAUCUUGACGGUACCUAAUCAGAAAGCCACGGCUAACUACGUGCCAGCANNNNNNGGGNNAAUACA